AUUGAACGCUGGCGGCAUGCCUAACACAUGCAAGUCGAACGGCAGCGCGCCAACUGCUGGCGAUGAGGGGUGGAGAGGGGCGGAUUACAAAGGAAUACGUACGAACGUGUGUUUUAUCGAGGGGCAACGUUGGGAAAUAUACCAUACGAACGCCUAAGGUCAACGGGGGAUAGCAGGGGUCCUCGGGCCCUUUCGGGCUGAAAUGAGACGAUGUCGGAUUAGGUAGUUGGCGGGGUAAAGGCGCACCAAGGCGACGAUCCGUAGCUGGUCUGAGAGGACGAUCAGCCACACUGGGACUGAGACACGGCCCAGACUCCUACGGGAGGCAGCAGUGGGGAAUAUUGGACAAUGGGCGCAAGCCUGAUCCAGCCAUACCGCGUGCGUGAAGAAGGCCUUCGGGUUGUAAACUGCUUUUGUACGGAACGAAAAGCCAUCGUUUAAUACCGCGUUGUAGUGACGGUACCGAAAGAAUAAGCACCGGCUAACUUCGUG
rnacentral:rRNA from 1 species